rnacentral:misc_RNA from 1 species
GAACUUACCCCCAAGCUUGAAAAGCUUGCCGCGAUGCCGGGCGUGGCGGAAACGCCGGAAAGCAAAAUUGCGCUGGCGCGCGCCUGGCUUCGGUGCUGGCGCAACAACGGUUUUUGGCUCGCGGGUAUGCCCUCCACGUGGCAGAACCGAUCAAGGGCCGACGGCGUAAGCGUCAAGGACAAGAAGGGCAAAGGCAAGUUCAGGGCCAUGGACGUGGUGCUCACGGACAAGAGCGCCCGCAAAGUUUUCAACGAAAAGUGGACCCCGGAGCUUCUGGCGUUAUUUACCGUCGAUUUGGGCGGC